rnacentral:snoRNA from 1 species
CCCCCCGGUAAUGGGCAAAGAGACACCUUGUUCGUGGUGUUCUUACAUCAGUCAGGGGAAGAGUCUUUGUUCAUCCUAGCUUGAUGCCUGGCUUGGUGGCCAAAGCUGGUUUAUGCCUAGGACACAUAA